rnacentral:rRNA from 1 species
CGCAUUAGUUAGUUGGUGGGUAAUGGCUCACCAAGGCGACGAUGGUAGCCGACCUGAGAGGUGAUCGGCCACAUGGGAAUGAGACCCGGCCCAGAUUCCUACGGGAGGCAGCAGUAGGGAAUCUUCCGCAAUGGACGAAAGUCUGACGGAGCAACGCCGCCUGAGUGAUGAAGGUUUUCGGAUCGUAAAGCUCUGUUGUUAGGGAAGAACAAGUGCGAGAGUAACUGCUCGCACCUUGACGGUACCUAACCAGAAAGCCACGGCUAAAUACGUGCCAGCAGCCGCGGUAAUACGUAGGUGGCAAGCGUUGUCCGGAAUUAUUGGGCGUAAAGGGCUCGCAGGCGGUUUCUUAAGUCUGAUGUGAAAGCCCCCGGCUCAACCGGGGAGGGUCAUUGGAAACUGGGAAACUUGAGUGCAGAAGAGGAGAGUGGAAUUCCACGUGUAGCGGUGAAAUGCGUAGAGAUGUGGAGGAACACCAGUGGCGAAGGCGACUCUCUGGUCUGUAACUGACGCUGAGGAGCGAAAGCGUGGGGAGCGAACAGGAUUAGAUACCCUGGUAGUCCACGCCGUAAACGAUGAGUGCUAAGUGUUAGGGGGUUUCCGCCCCUUAGUGCUGCAGCUAACGCAUUAAGCACUCCGCCUGGGGAGUACGGUCGCAAGACUGAAACUCAAAGGAAUUGACGGGGGCCCGCACAAGCGGUGGAGCAUGUGGUUUAAUUCGAAGCAACGCGAAGAACCUUACCAGGUCUUGACAUCCUCUGACAACCCUAGAGAUAGGGCUUUCCCUUCGGGGACAGAGUGACAGGUGGUGCAUGGUUGUCGUCAGCUCGUGUCGUGAGAUGUUGGGUUAAGUCCCGCAACGAGCGCAACCCUUGAUCUUAGUUGCCAGCAUUUAGUUGGGCACUCUAAGGUGACUGCCGGUGACAAACCGGAGGAAGGUGGGGAUGACGUCAAAUCAUCAUGCCCCUUAUGACCUGGGCUACACACGUGCUACAAUGGACAGAACAAAGGGCUGCGAGACCGCAAGGUUUAGCCAAUCCCAUAAAUCUGUUCUCAGUUCGGAUCGCAGUCUGCAACUCGACUGCGUGAAGCUGGAAUCGCUAGUAAUCGCGGAUCAGCAUGCCGCGGUGAAUACGUUCCCGGGCCUUGUACACACCGCCCGUCACACCACGAGAGUUUGCAACACCCGAAGUCGGUGAGGUAACCUUUAUGGAG